GCUCUUGUAAGAUAGUGGCAGUCGCCGCCCGUCGUAAGGCCGGAGCCGGGGUUUGAUUCCUCGCGAGAGCACCA
rnacentral:tRNA from 1 species